UCCUUGGCGACAAGGAAUCUGAAGGAAGCCAGCGGCAAACUUCCGGUCUGAGGAACACGAAUCACAUAUGAGGCUGAUAUAGUUGGAUGAGUUUGCGUAGCAAAACAAAAUCCUUACCACCCAAGGCUAUACCAGUAUAUGUGGCAGAUAGAUGGAAGGAAAGACUGCGUU
rnacentral:ncRNA from 1 species